rnacentral:rRNA from 1 species
AGAGUUUGAUCAUGGCUCAGAACGAACGGUUGCGGGUAUGCUUUAACACAUGCAAGUCGUACGUGAAAGCGGACUUCGGGUCUGCAAGUAAAGUGGCGCACGGGGUGAGUAACCACGUGGAUAAUUUACCCGCCAGUCAGGGAUAACACUUUGAAAGAAAUGCUAAUACCCUGAUAAGCCCCACGAUCUCUUUGGAGGCUGUGGGAAAAGGUGGGGCCCUUNGGCCCUCCCGUUGUNGGAUGAGUCCGCGGCCCAUUAGCCUAGUUGGUAGGGUAAUGCCCUACCAAGGCUACGAUGGGUAGCUGGUNUGAGAGGAUGAUCACCCCCACUGGAACUGAGACAGGGUCCAGACUCCUACGGGAGCCAGCAGUGGGGAAUUUUGCCAAUGGGCGAAAGCCUGACGCAGCAAUACCGCGUGAGUGAUGAAGGCUCUUGGGUCGUAAAGCUCUGUCAGAGGGGAAGAACCUCCUAUCGUAUAAUACACGAUAGGCCUGACGGUACCCUCAGAGGAAGCACCGGCUAACUCCGUGCCAGCAGCCGCGGUAAUACGGAGGGUGCAAACGUUGUUCGGAAUUAUUGGGCGUAAAGAGCAUGUAGGCGGUCUGUCAAGUCUGAUGUGAAAGCCCCGGGCUCAACCCGGGAAGUGCAUUGGAAACUGGCAGACUUGAGUACGGGAGAGGAAAGUGGAAUUUCGAGUGUAGGGGUGAAAUCCGUAGAUAUUCGAAGGAACACCAGUGGCGAAGGCGGCUUUCUGGACCGAUACUGACGCUGAGAUGCGAAAGCGUGGGGAGCAAACAGGAUUAGAUACCCUGGUAGUCCACGCCGUAAACGAUGGGUACUAGGUGUUGCGGGUAUUGACCCCUGCAGUGCCAAAGCUAACGCAUUAAGUACCCCGCCUGGGGAGUACGGCCGCAAGGCUAAAACUCAAAGGAAUUGACGGGGGCCC